UGCAUUUAUCUAAUUGUAAUCUUAAGUGUUUCUGUUUUUUCAAUUAAGGUUUUUGUUGAGCAGUCGAAGGGAUGGAAUUUGCAUCAUACUGAGAUUGUGAUUUUAAAGAACCUACAGAGGCUUGUUUUUAAAAAGAAUCUCUCAUCCAAAGGAGGGAAGAAACUCCACCAAACAAUACUCUGCUACUUUGCUAUUUUAAGAAGGUCACGGUAGACCGCCUACAGUCAAACCCUGGGAGUACACAACAAGGCGACUGUGGAGGACCUGAAGGGAGAAGUCUCGGGACACAGAAGUCAGGCCGUCCUCCUGAAGGAUGGACAAGGCUUCCAGUGGUAACUCCAGUAACACAGUGUCUGCCAGCAACACCACAAAGUGCCCUGGUUCUGCUGGUGAUUUCACUACACACAAGACAGCAUAU